AAAGUGCACCGUGCAGCUGGCUGCACGGGUUGGCAAAUAUUAGAAGCAGUUUGCUUUCUCUAAGCACACAAGGUUGAGGGGUGGGAGUGGUCUGAGAGUGUUGGGGCAGAUGGAUGGGAGUUGACCUUCAACUCUAUACAGUCAACUGCUCAAAGGGGCUGGGCCAGCCAGCUCUGAGCUCUUGCUGCCUCCACAGAGUCUCUGCUGUCUCCAGGCUCCCAGGGAUGCCCUCCAUGCUUCUUCACAUGGCCAGAGAUACUGAUUUGGCUGUAAGCCCUGUAGCUGGGACAGGAUCUCAAAGAGCAGCAACAGGGAAGAGGGAGAAGAGGCCAGGGGCCAAGAGAAGGCCAGCGAGGUGUGUGUUGUCCAGACGUGGGUCAAGAGAGGCUGGGGUAGCAUUUCUAUGGUCUGUGGCACCAUGGCGAAAGCAGACAGCUGCUCCUCAUCUGUGUGGCCAUUCUCAGACGUUUUCCUUCUGACACUCACCUGAGCCAAAUGACCAAAGCAGUGAACUUUUCCAUCAAGCAACACAAAAGAGCAGUGAAGAGAACCAGACGUGGCGUCGCCAUAUGGGGGAACAUCUUGGCUCCCCCAGUUGUAAAAGCUCUCUAGCCUCAGGGAUUGCCCUGGACUGCAAAUGGACAACCCUGGAAAGCAGUUGCUUCACGCAUUGUGUCAAGUUUUCUAGUUGUGACAAGAGAGCAAGAGUGAUGCCAGCUACUCGUUCAGGGCCAGAGGGGGAGAUUCUCUUUAUUGUUAAAGACAUUGACACACAUGGUCUCAUCUUUCUUGGAUGCCAUUGUGCCUGGUUGUGAUGCUGACUGUGUGUAAGCCAAGGUAUAGACAUAAAGAGAGCUAGUCUCGGGCUGGCACUGUGGCGCAGUAGGUUAAUCCUCUGCCUGCAGUGAUGGCAUCCCAUAUGGGCACCAAAUCCAGCGCUCUGCUAUGGCCUGGGAAAGCAUUGGAAGAUGGCCCAAUUGCUUCAAUCUCUGUAAGGAGAGACCCAGAAGAAGAAGCUCCUGGCUCCUGGCUUCAGAUUGGCACGGCUCUGGCUAUUUUGGCCCUUGUGGGGUGACCCAGCAGAAGGAAGACAUUUCUCUCUGUCUUUUCCUCUCUAUCUCUCAAAUAAAUAAAUAAAUAAAAUAUUGAGAGAGAGAGAGAGAGAGAGAGAGAGAGAGAGAGAGAGAGAGAGAGACUGGUCUGCAGACAAAGCCACUGGGACAAAUACAGCAGGAAGCAAGCAUGGAAAUUACUUGGGUCCUUAAUGGGUGAUGAUACACUGAACUAACCAGCCCUGGAUCUGUCCAUACCUUGGAAAAUUGUUGCUACAUGAGAAAAAAAUUUCUCGGGGCCAGUAUUGUGGUGUAAUGGUUAAGCCACUGCCUGCAAUGCCUGAGAUGGCAUCCUAUAAGGGUGCAAGUUCUGAACCAGCUGCUUCUGAACCAGCUCUCUGCUGUGGCCUGGGAAAGCAGCAGACGAUGGCCAGAGACCUUGGGCCCCUGCACCCACAUGGGAGACGCAGAAGGAGCUCCUGGCUCCUGGCUUUGGCCUGGCCCAGCCCCAGUGAUUGUGGCCAUCUGGGGAGUGAACCAGCGGAUGGAAGAGCUCUCUCUGUGUCUUCUCUCCCUCUCUCUCUCUCUGUAACUCUGAUUUACAAAUAAAUAAAAUAAAUCUUU